UACGUAGGGGCCAAGCGUUGUCCGGAUUUAUUGGGCGUAAAGAGCUCGUAGGCGGUUUGUCGCGUCUGCCGUGAAAGUCCGGGGCUCAACUCCGGAUCUGCGGUGGGUACGGGCAGACUAGAGUGAUGUAGGGGAGACUGGAAUUCCUGGUUUAGCGGUGAAAUGCGCAGAUAUCAGGAGGAACACCGAUGGCGAAGGCAGGUCUCUGGGCAUUAACUGACGCUGAGGAGCGAAAGCAUGGGGAGCGAACAGG
rnacentral:rRNA from 1 species